UACGUAGGGUGCAAGCGUUGUCCGGAUUUAUUGGGCGUAAAGAGCUCGUAGGCGGUUUGUCGCGUCGGAUGUGAAAAUCUAGGGCUUAACCCUGGGCCUGCAUUCGAUACGGGCAGACUAGAGUUCGGUAGGGGAGACUGGAACUCCAGGUGUAGCGGUGAAAUGCGCAGAUAUCAGGAAGAACACCGGUGGCGAAGGCGGCUCUCUGGGCCGAUACUGACGCUGAGGAGCGAAAGCGUGGGGAGCAAACAGG
rnacentral:rRNA from 1 species